GGGAACGUGGCUCAGUGGUAGAGCGCUUGCCUUGCAUGCAUGAGGUCCUGGGUUCGAUUCCUUAGCACCA
rnacentral:tRNA from 1 species